GUUGUCUGCAGACAUUGCCGGUGUACACCAACCCCUUGCCGGGGAGGGAAAGUGGUAACGGGAGCUACCAUGCUCUACACGACCGCUAGAAUCCACACCUCCCCAGCAACUCAGGGCGCAGUCUGCAGAGCAGAGGGUGCAUGAAAACUGUCAGUGUGCUGUGUUUUGUUUGUGUAUGUUUUUGUAUUUGGAAAAGUUAGAUUAAUUGGUGGGAGUUUUAAUGGAGUUACUGGUGGAUGUAAUGUUUCCCCUCAACCUUCCUCCGCUGCCGGUUGUCUGCAGACAUUGCCGGUGUACACCACCCCUUGCCGGAGAGGGAAAGUGGUAAAGGGAACCACCAAGCUCUACACGACCGUUAGAAUCCACCGUGUGACGGGCCGUACUUAUAAACACUAAGAUGACGUCCUAACGGUAAGAAGUCGCCCUAAAUCACAAAAAUGGCGGAAUUCGAGUCUUAAAUUCUUAAGACGACAUCCUAAGCCCUAAAGAUGCGUCUUACUGCUAAAACACCUCCCGAGGUGUUUUAGCAGUAAGACACGCUCCUAAGAUUUCAUCCUAAAAGUAAACAUGGCCGCCCGAGAGGAACCGCAAGGCACCACCUGCGAGAGAGACGGUCGUUUCGUGAGAGGAAGGACGUCCUGAAUGAGCUAGAUGACCGUGAGGUGGUGAAGAGGUAUUGGCAGGAUCCUGCUGGUAUCAUUUUCGUGACAAAUUGGUGCGGGAAAGGCUGAAGAGACCAACUGCAAGAAACAAGGCCUCUCUCCCCAAGAUGCAAGUUAUCUUCACUGCGAUACCUCGCUAUAGGAAAGAUGCAGCAGUGCAGCACUGAUGACUUGGGGCCCUCACAACAGACCAUCAGCAGGAUCAUCAGUGAUACAGUGAUACAAUGCCAUCCUCUCAUAAUUCAUAAGAUUUUUAGUCAUCCAACUGGAAACUCAGUGGAGGAAGGAGGAGUUUCUGCAGAUUGCUGGCUUCCCUGAAGUGAUCGGUGGCAUUGAUGGAACGCAUGUAAUGAUUGUGGCUCCUAGAGAGUAUAAGGUAGAGUUUGUCAACAGGAAGAGAUACUACAGCAUCAACGUGCAGUUUGUUUGAUGCUUGAUACCACAUUAUUGAUGUAGUUGCAAAGUGGCCGGGAUCGGUUCACGAUGCAAGAAUACUUGUUCAAAGUGGACUCUGCACGAUAUUUGACAACGGCAUCGUCCCAGCUGGGUGUCACUUACAGGGAGAUAGUGACUAUCCCAGCAAGAAGUGGCUACUGACUCCAUACCUCAGACCACAGCCUGGAGCACAGUCUUCUUAUAACAGGGCCUACAAGAAAACCGCAGCAUUGUUGAGAGGCAUCGGGCAGCUGAAGCGACAUUUUCACGUGCUACACAGUGAGAUCCGAGUUGGUCCUCCAUCCAAGGUCUGCCAAAUUGAAGAGGUUUGUGCACUGCUGCACAAUAUCUGCAAAGCAAGAAACAUCAUUCUUCCUGAGGAAGAAGAACAUCUUGCUGCAGCCGAGGAUGGAGGCAAUGAGGAGCGACUCAUAGCACAGAAAGUUCAAAGUCACCAUGAAGUAAUCCUUUACAGGGAUGAAUUUGUUGUACUUCACUUCAACAUUGAUGAGUGAUGAGACACCAGUGUCAUGACUGCUGAGAUUGGUGUUAUUCUCAUGUGGAUGAUCUCCUCCUCAUCCACAAACACCAGUGAUGUACCAGGCAAGUCUGGCCCCUGUUGGUGCUGCAAGUGGUGUGGCAGGUGCCUCCUCCUCAACACCCACUGCCUCGGUCAUCACUUCUCUCUGUUGGGCUGCCUCUGCCACUUCCCCAGCAUCAUCUGCUACCUGCACACUGGUGGCAUCAUUAGUUCUAACUUCAGAAACUAAGCUGAUAAUGUUUUUGGUUUUAUUGCUAAGGACAAAAGUAACAGAAACCAGUAAAUCUA
rnacentral:lncRNA from 1 species